ensembl:snoRNA
AAGACUAUACUUUCAGGGAUCAUUUCUAUAGUUCUUAACUAGGAAAUGUGUUUCUAAAGAGUCGAGUCACCCAAACCACGAUGAAGAGUGAAGGUGCAUUCCUCUGAGCGUGAAUCGGAUAAUAAUCUGCGGGAUAACCAUGGAUAAUUAUCAUUGAUGAACGUUCUGCGAUUCUUAAUGAAUCUAAGAGGAGGAGUGCACGAACAGAGUGGUU